GUCUACAGACAUGCUACCCUGAACAAGCCCGAUGUCUGAUCUCGGAAGCUAAGUAAGGUCGGGCCUGGUUAGUACUUGGAUGGGAGACCACCUAGGAAGACCAGGUGCUGUAGGCA
rnacentral:rRNA from 1 species